ensembl:lncRNA
AUGAACCGACAAGAUACACUGGAUGCCUAUCGGUCUGCUUUCGUGUUGUUGAAUUUGUUGUCACAGUCGCAUUAUUCUCAUGUCCUGUUCCCUCACAGCGGACUGUUGUUAGGUUCUCAUGUUUCUGUCCUCUCACAGCGGAGUGUUAGGUUCUCAUGUCCUGUCCUCUCACACCGGACUGUUAGGUUCUCAUCGUAUUUUUUUUUGUAAAUAAAAAAGAGUGACGCUUCAUGUAUGUGGUGUUGCUGUUGUGUGUGAACUGUUUUCUCAGCACAAUAAAACACAUUUUAUUUACUUUAACAUCGCGCAAUACAGUUGGGCUGGGCCUACUCUUGUGAGGCGACAGUAGCCUAACUCGGGUGGGUUUACAAGUCUUCCAUAAUUUCAAAUAAUACAUAUUUUUUCUAGAAUCCAGAUAUCCAAAAUCAAUAUGUAGCCUAUUGAUCAUUUCUCUAUGAGAAUUUGUAAGAUCACUCACUGUAGGCUAUCUGUAAAAUCAUAAACCUAGAUUUAAUUACACCGGAAAUUGUAAAAAUACGAAUGUUUUUUUUAAAAAGUAGGCUUAUUCGAUAGACCUAACAGCGAAACAUGUCAAAGAGAAAAUACACGUUAGCUAAAUGUCAUCAUGUAUUCCAUAAAAACGAAUAAAAAUGUUGAAUCUAUCCAACUUCCGAAAAUCCCCCAAAAUGUGAUAGCUUUCGUUUAAUGUUACAUUUAAAUCAUUUAGCAGAAGCUCAUUUCGGAGUUUGAAUGUCGGAGUUUGAACCAGCUGUCUUUCGGUUACUGGCCCAACGCUCUUAACCCUCCUGUUGUGUUCGUUUCAUGUUMAUUCAUUCUGUGUUUCCGGUCCAAAAUGACCGCCCCGUUAUAGCUGGUUAUAAAUCCAUAAUAAUACAUAUAUUAUCACCUAAUAUUGUGUUAGAUCUUUUCAUCAACUUCAGUUCUUGUGAACAUUACAAGUGUUGAACUUCUAUUUGCUAUUUAUGGCCUGUAGGCCUCAUUGACCGGAGCUCAUACAACCCGUUUUUGAGUAAAACAAGCAUAAGGUAUGGAUAAUUUUGACUAUAACAAAUACACAGAUUAAAUAUAUUGUGCUAUUUAUCACAGACUAAUAUGUGUCAAAGUUUAACCAGUGCCAUGAUCAAAUAUAUGAUCAAGAGCCUCACAUACAGCAUAUCGUUUGGUUAUUGUGCUGCCACAUAAUUAAUUGUGAGCAAGGCCUCAAAAAAGCUUUAUAUACUGUAUACCAGAGCUGAGAGAAAAGUUCUAUAUAUUAUUGAAAUAAUGUUGCGAUUCCUUGUGAAAAUGCCAACAGGUGUGGUUCCGUGGAGGAAAGAUUCUAUUGGAGAA